AGUAAACAACCAAUGCUUCCGCCUCUUUAUUUACUCUAUAAGGAAAACUUUCUCUUCACUCCACAGCUAGAGGAACAGACGCCGCCAGCUUGCGGAACUUGAGGGCGUAAAACAUCUCCAGAUAGCGGCGGCACUCCAGGCGAUCAAGGUUCGAAACAUCUUUCCAGAAGCCAUAGACUCCAGUGAGUGUCAAGAGCCUCUCAGAGUAGAUUUGCCAUGUGUACCUAAACGAAAACAGAGCAGAAAUGUAAGAUAACUUGCAAGCCAGGCAAAACAAUUUACUGCAAAAAAUGGAUUUGUUCUUGCUUACUUUUCGUAAAUGCGCUGCAAGCCGCCUUGAGAAAUCUUGUCCCAGUGGCUAGGAUCAGCCUUGCUCUUCUCAAAGAAAUCAACAAGGAUCUCAGCAGCCUGAUCGCCGUGGUAUGGAUCAAUGUGGUAGCCCGAUAUUCCAUUCACAAUAAUCUCAGCCGGGCCACCCUUGCAAGUGGCAAAUGUGGGCAGUCCACAAGUCAUGGCCUCAAUGACUGUCAAGCCGAAAGCUUCAUACACAGCAGGCUGCACAAAGGCUCCCCUGGUGUCACAAAUGUAGCGGUAGAGUUCACCAUUCCUCACACGGUUCAUCUGGGAUGAGAUCCAUCUUAACUGCCCGUUCAGCUUGUAGGUGUCAAUCAGCUCGUACAUCUUCUUUAACUCAGCCUUCUCCUCAUUGUCCUUGGACUCGUUGCGGCGAUCACCAGCAACCACAAGAAGGUUAACCAACUCUCUAAGCUUGGCAUUCUUACCAUACCACUCGACAAGCCCAGUGAUGUUCUUCACCCGGUCCAGCCUUGCCAUUGUGAAGAUGAUUGGCUUGUUCCUGUCCUUCAACACACAUCUGAUCGGAAAACAACAUAAACGUGUUAGCACAUAUUCGAUCACACGAUGCAUUGAGCAAAACAUAAAUGGGAAAAAAGCAACUUACAAUUGUUCGAUAUUUUCGACUUGGCCGUAAAGGAGCUCUUCAAUUUCAGGGUGGAAGUGGGUCAACCUCUUUUCUUUCUCAGAGUAAGGGAAGUAGACAUCCUUGUCAGCUCCUGGUGAAACAAUGUUGAACUUGGGAUCGAAGACAUCAAUACCAUGAACGACACGGUAGAGCCCAGGAAGGGUGAAGGCAGUGUGGCUCUCAUACUGACCAACAGUGUCUUUGCUGCAAACAUUCAUAGAACACAAAAUUAGGAUCCCAAAAGACAAGACGGUUGAUACGAAAAGUCUAGGCCGAAUGCAUAUAUUACCUUCCAGCAAUCUCUUGGAAGGUACUGGUGAUGAUGAAAUCAGUGUGGUUCAUGGCGAUAAGAUCAGCUGUAAAUUGGCAUGAGAAGUGAUAAUUCUCAUCCAAUUUCUUCCAGUAAAGGUCAGAAUCAGGGUAUUUUGACUUCUCGAGAGCAUGGGCAAUGGUGCACUGAAAGACAGUGAAAACCAAACAAUAAACUUAGCUACUAAGAUGUAAAAGGCAUCGAAAGGGCAUAACUAAUUAUAACUAAAUGGAAAUCACAAACCUGUGUAACACCCAAUUUGUGUGCCAUCAGUGAGGCCACAAUAUUGCCAUCACUGUAGUUUCCAAUGAUGAGAUCAGGCUUGCCCUGCAUUUCCUUGGAAAGUUCCUUGAUCGCAUCCUAAUAACACGAAAAUCAGCAAGUCUGAGAACCAAAUACAAGCAAAAAUUGGAACAUAUGGAAACCGAUAGUAUUAACAAAGAAGUUGACCUCAGCAUAUGUCUGUAGGUAGGGCCAGACUUCGAAUCUUGAAAUCCAUCUGCGGACAAUGGCACCCUUCUCAUCUCUGAAAGGAACACGAAGAAUAUCUGAAUGCUCACACCCGUAAACUUUCUCAAGACGAUCACCACAUGUGGUUCCAACAGCAUCAGGAAGAAGCCUUGUGAGCUGUGUUUGAAACAUAAUCAAAGCAUCAGAAUAGAAUGAAAUCACCAAAUAACAUAAAUUCUGCAGCCACAAAAUUUCAGAUAAAACUCACAAUGAUAAUGCGGGGAGUGAUAUCGAGUCCUUGCUGCUUAAUGCGCUUAAGCAUCUCAGACUCCAAAGCACGAACUUGAUCCAAGAUAUAGACAACCUGGCCACCAGUGUCAGGGAACCCCAAGACAUGGUCUUGGGCAAAAUAUCCGUGGGGCGAAAGGAUCACAACAUUGAAGACCAUGGGGAUCUGGCCAAGAAAUUUCUCAAGAGUAAAAGGAUCGGGUGCCUCAAUAAGGUCCAACAGAAGUUGGAUCAUCUCAAGCACACGCUCAGCAGUGUCACCCCAACCCCUCUCCAAACCGAUGACUUGCAUCUUGGGCUCGAACUCCUUGUAUGGAGUUCCGGGGACAACUGAAGAGAGGAAAUCCUCUGCCUUCCUCAGAACACGUUCCAGCUCAUUCACAUUCUUAAUUCUGUUAUUCAGCAUCAUAUUCUGCACGAAGAAGCCAAUCAAAUUAAAUCCCGAGAUCAGCAAAAGAGUAUUAAUUUCAUUUGAAUUCAAACAAAGAUGGUAAAGUUGCAAAUGUAAGAAAAUCAUACCCUGCCCUCAUAGCAGUGAACUCGGAGAAACUCGAGCAAAGGGUGCAGGCUCUCCUUGUCAUGGAAGAGCUUAGCAGAAAGGUGACGAUUGAGGAACUCAACGCCUUUUCCAAUGGACUUGGAAAGAGUUGGGCGGGGGAAAGAUGCAUGGAACGGCUGAAAGUCCAACUCAAGCACGAAGUUGCCAUUGGAACUGCAGUUGAAACCAGCAAAAAUUAUUAACAACGCAAAGAAAGUAAUAAAUGCGAUAUUCUAAACUACUCAAAAUCUAUGAAAAUUAACAAAAAAUUAAGAACCGAAUCGAAACUUUAAAACUCAAACUAUAAAAAGACAAAAAACUACCUCCCAUCAACAAGUUCCUCCUUGAAUUGCAAGUACUCAGCCACACGCAACUCCUCGAGAACGAGAGCAUGGACAUUCACACGAAUGUACUCCCAAACACCAGGCCUUGGGCGCACAGCAAAAGCCACCCAUGGGGGCAGCACAACAGCCUCCUACAUUAGACAAAAACAUCCACACAAACAAUUCAAAAACUCCUGAAAAAAACAUAAAAACAAAUGACUACAAACUAUAAGUAUGAUCGAAAAUGUUUACCUGGGUGUGCUUCAAAACUUCACCAAAAGCCCCGUCCAACAGCUUCUGCCUGUUAUUUUCAGGAAUCGCUUCGAACUCGGCAUGAAGCUGAUGGGGUUGCAGAAACCCUUUCCCCUUGCUCUCAAUCCUAAAACCCCAAAACCCUUUUAGUGAUCAAACCAAAAAACAACCUUUUUGCAAAAGACAACAAUUUUUUUGCAUGUUUUGGAACAUUUGACAGAAACCCAUUUGUGAUCAUUAACAUAGUACCUUGAAAGAAGGGCCAGAAUCUCAUUGCGGUGAGUAAAGAGGGUUUCGUCCAGCCUCUCUCGUAAGCUCUGGACGCGGGUCAGCGCACGUUCCGCCAUUACAGCAGCAGCUUGGAAAAUCAGACACCCUUAACAGCUGCAAGAAAAGUAAAAAAAGUUAUGCAGAAAAAGUCAACAAUUCAAACCUUAAAUAAGACUAAACCAACAAAUCAAACGGGUGAAGAUGAACAGGUUUUUUUAUAUUCAACAAAAAUAAAAACAGACAUCUACACAAAAACAGAGCAAAAACCCAUCAAAUAAAGUAUGAACCCAAAACGCAGAAGCUAUUGAUCACAUGGUCGCGUAACAAAAAUCCGGAAAAGAAAAAAAAGAUCAUCCCAAGAACAAGAAAAAUAGAAAAAGUAAAAAGUGGGAAACAAGGAGUACCUAGGGAGGAAGGAAAAAAGUUGAGAACAGUGAAGUGAAAUGGUUUGAUGAACAAAGAUAGUGGGAGAGCGAAAUAAAAUGGUAAGAAAAAGACUUGGGCAAGAUUCCAUUUCACUUUUGACCAUUUUGUCUCAGGAAUAGACAAAAUACUCAUAAGUUUGGAUAACCGUAGUUACCAAUGUAUUUAAAAAUUACUAUUUAUACUUAUAACAGAUAUCUAUUUACCUAUUUAAUUUAAUAUAUGUAAACUAAGUUUCUUGUUUAAUGAAUUUUGUAUAGGUGCUGCUGGCAUUAAGCAGAUUUUAUUUGACAGAUCUGUCCUUCUGUGCUGCUGCUGUACUCAAAAUCCACAAAUUUUAUUUGACAGAUCUGUCCUUCUGUUGAUUUUUAAGUGUCGGUAGGAAGCAAAAGUUAGGUACGAAUAAAAAACGCUAUGGUGAUGAUAUUUCAAACAAAUAUCGCACUGCUAGGUGUUGGACUUGCACACCAUGGCAAAGAAGUUCAGCCCUUGAAUUGAAUUCGAGAAGUCAAUUUGAAGCAAUAGAAAGACAUCUUCUCAUCCAUUUGAAGCAAUUAAAAUUUAAUAUAUGUGUUUAAUUAUCAGAAAAUAAAAAUUAUGACAAAUUUUUCUUUUGUAAUUUUCAAAUUGUUAAAAAAAAACAUGUAGAUGGAUGAAAAAAUGGAUAAAGGGGUUCAAAAACGAGUAAACCGGUAAAUGGUUAUGGUUAAAUGGGUAAACGGUUAUAGUUAAAUGGGUACACGGUUAUAAGUAUGGUUAACCGUUUAUAAAUCGUUUAUAAAUGGUUAUAUGUAUGAGUAUAACCGUUUAUACAACUACCUAACGGGUAAACGCAGGUUAUGAACAUAAGCGAGUAUGGAUAAAUAACCGCGGUUACUCGUCUGCCAUAACCGUUGUCCAUCUCAAUUUCUUACCAAAAGUAAACAAAAAUAGUAGUAAUUUUUACUGCAGGUGCAGGCAUUGUAAAUGUAGAAAAGAAAAAAAAAAGAGUAUUAAAUGCAUGGAAAUUAAGCUGGAAACAUUCAAUUGAAACACAGGAAUCAAACGCUGUGGUUACAAGCAAUUUACUCAUAUGCACUUGAAACUCUUGGAUAUAUAUAAAAUCAAUCAAACAACGUGUAUAAACUUUUUCUAAUGGUAAAUACUAGCUAUCAUUACCUUAAAAUCCGACGAAGAAUUACUGCCAACAAAUGUUCUUGACCAAAAGAGUAACGAAUCAACGAAUAAAUCGAAGUGGUGAUGAACGAAGUAUUCAAUAUACAGAACACAGAGAUGAUAGAAAUGAAGAGAGGAUGAAUAAGAAUGGGAUGGAGGAGAAGGAUGGUAGAACAGCCUUUUAUACAUGUCUUUUGCCUCCUUCCUGGGUGUUGGUGGUGACCGCUGUGUAAUGCUGUUGCUAAUUGACUUGACUAUUAAUUUAAUUUAAUCUCUUUUUAAAUUUCAAAAUAAAACAAUUGGUUCCUGCGGCUUUCAUUUCCUGCGGUUUCGUUGUUGAUUUUGCAAAACCGCUUUACUUUUCUUCUUUUUUUUUUUUUUUUUUUUUUUGGAAAACGCUUUACUUUUCUUCUAGAAUAUGAGUCUAUGACCCCAAUUGUUUCUUUUGUACUCAUUUUCCAUGUCCACUUUCUUCUUCAACGACCUUUUGUCUGUUCAUUAAUUAUUUGUUUAUUUCUGUAGUUUAUAGUUUGUAGGACCUUUUGCCAUCAUAGAGUAUUGUCCAAGUUCUUUCUGUUCCUUAUAAUUUUAAAGAAAUUUUGAGAGUUUUAACGAAAAAUCUGCAGUACUAUUUAUUUUAACGAAAAAUUAUAUUUUUAUACUAAAAAGUCAAACAUGAUACUAUUUAUUUUAACGAAAAAUCAUAAUUUUAUACUAAAAAGUCAAACAUGAUACUAUUCACUUUACCCUUUAUUUUGUUCUUAUCGUUAAAACUCAAGGUUUUCAAGUCAUUUUCAUUAGUUUUCCUUGAUAUUUAUAUAUGUCGAUCAUGUAUGCCUGAGAGAUCAUAUAUACAAGAGAGAUCAACUAAUUUUGAUUAUAUUUAUAAAUUAUAUGACAUGGAUUUUAACGGUUUGAUUGUUAUUUAAUUAUUGAUUAACAUAGUUAUUUUUUAUUGAUAAUAAAUCACAUAAUUUAUAAAUUUAAUUUGCCUAACAUUAUUCUAAUUUUAAUUAAUCAAACGCAAACAUUUUUUGUAAUCUUUAUUAUUAACAUGUGCGUACAUGCUCUUAUCCCUUUUUUUUUUCAAAUAAACCAUAAGUAUUAUAGUCAUUCAGGGAGAUAAGGUGAGCUUCACCUCAUAAUGAGCUAGUGAUUUAAAUUCAUCUCUGUCAAGAAUCAAAUCUAAAGACUCUCAUUUAUUAACGAAGAAAAAUAUCAUUAGAAUAUAGUACUAAGUGGUUGUUCUUAUCCCAUUAGCUAGCCUAGCUUUUUAUGAAUCCUAUUUUCUUCGACUCAACGCUAAACGAUGGUAUUAAGUAUUAAUUGACCUUACAAAAUGAAGCUAAACGGAUGUAACUGUUAGGGUGCGUUUAUUGCACCGGAUUGUCUCGGACUGGAUUAGGUGUAAGGACUAUGCUGGAUUGGUUUAAACUAAACUAAACUAGACUAACUUAGUGAAGUGUUUGGUACAAUGUCGGAUUAAAAAGAGGAUAAUGAAAUAGCUGUCAAUGUUCGAAAGAAAUGGGGGCUUUUGAGCUCUCAACUAUGUGAAAGAAACUCAACUAAUUUUCAGACAUUGCAACCACAGUUGGAAUCAAACAUGCAACCAUAACCCACAAUCUAUGACAAAUAAAAUUACGAUUCUUCAUCAGUUUUCUCGACAACCAAACAGCUUGUAAAAUAUCCAUUGAAGAACAACACAGUCAACAUUUCCAAAUCUUUAUCUUCCAUGUAAGAACAACAUAAAUUCGAAGAAUAAAUGUAAAACAAAAAAUGACCAAAACAAAAGAACCAAUCUAUAUCACCAAUUAUUCAAAUCCAGAAAACCCAGUUGAACCCAAUUAAAAAUAGACCCAAACAAUCCAAUUUUCCAGCAAAUCUUUUAAACUAGACAAAUUGUUAAAAUCCCAGAUGACAAGUUCACUGCUUGGAUCCCAAAGAUCAAAAGAGAGAGUAGUAGUGCUUGGAAAAACCCAAAUUGAUCCAAUUUCUCCAGCAGAUCUUUGCAAUAUGUUUUUGCCUUCAAACCUCUAUCUUCGAACCUAGCCUUUGAACCUCAGUUUUCAAACCUAGCCUUCGGUCGUCAACCCCAGCUCUCAGCCGAUCAUAAUAUCAAGUAAACUUUCUCUUUUCUAAUUGAUCCACCGGAUCGAGCCAAACCCAUCGAUGGUGGUAAAUAGAUUUUGGGAUUCAGGUGGCGGGUUGAGCUGGUGGUGCAUAGAGAUUUAGCAAGGGAAGAUCCAUGCGGGGAGAGAGUGGGAGGAUUUGACGGCUAGGUCGUCCAGUAGGAAGAGAACGCGACGCGAGUAGACAAAGUAGACGAAGCAAUGAGCGGUCUUAGCAGUCCACUUCAUUUUGGGGGGACUAUCUAAGACCCUCUAAUGAGGUCGAUAGUCGGGGUCUCACUAAAGUUAGUCCUUGUGAUUAACAAACACAACACUACACUAACUUUUAGUUUAGUCUAGUCUAGUGAAGGCUAGUGAAACCAAACAAACACACCUUUAGUGGCUACAACGAGUUUAACUUUGAUAAUUCAACAUAAACUAACUAGUUCGAUUUUUUAAACAAUCUUCAUCGUCCAAUUUCACUAUACUUUUCUGAACUACUUAGUAGUCCCAAACUAUUAAAAAUUGAGCUACAACAUGUAGUUUUCAUUGAGUUUCAUUUUUAGUGUUGUAUUUUUAAUUGCAUCGAAUUUGGUUUCUGUAGUUAGUUGCUCUACUCCAAAAAGUUUUUUUUUUCUUUUGUCGGAAAAAAAACUAGAGAAAUAGUUUCAUAGAUAUGCAUCAAGCUCCUUUUGCCAAGGGAUCCGGAAGCUUUAAAUCUUCUUUGCAUCGUCACUUUCACAAGCUUGGCAAGAUAAAACACCAUUUUAAAAAAAAAAAAAAAAAAACUUUAACAAAAAACUCCAAAUACUGUUUAUUUUAACGAAAAUCCACAUUUUUACACUAAAAAGUCAAUCAUGAUACUAUUCACUUUACUCUUUAUUUUGUCCUUAUUAUUAAAACUCAAAAUUUUCAAGCCAUUUUUAUUAUUUUUCUUUUAAAAUGAAAGUUCAUUGCACAUAUAUAGGCUUCAUAAACCUCCCUGUUAGCAACAGUUCCACCAAAUAGAAAGUUAAAACGAAGAACACCUUGCCAUCAACUAGUCUAUGGCAACCGCUACAACAUCGUACUUAAUUCUUCGGACCAAUGACCUUGAGGGCACACAUCUGCUCCUCUCCCAUGGUAGACAUGACAGUCACCACAAAAUCCCUUCCAUCCUUAAACCCGUCCUUGAUCUGUGUAAGGAUACUGUCAUCAGUGGGAAACCUCAUAUCCCGAAAUCUUGACGAAGGCUAUCUUUGUCCUCUUAGGCAUGGCGUUUUUGCCAAAAGUCGAACAAAAAGCCUAGCGUUGGCAAUGAUAUCGGUAUGAUCUGCGGUUGUUGUCGUCGUGGUCGUGGCCGUGGUCAGGGUCAUGGUGAUGGAACGUCGAGCCACAUCCAGUGUGCUUGAAAAUCAAUGUGGGAUAGUAGUACUUUCACCCUUGGCCAAGAUUAAGGAUGGGCAACGGUUAUGGCGGACGGGUAACCGCGGUUAUUUACCCAUAACCGUUAAAGUUUUUACCUGUAUAACCAUUUACCCGUUGGGUAUUUACAUAAACGGGUAUACCCAUACCCAUAACCGUUUAUAAACAGUUAACCAUACCCAUUUACCUAUAAUCGUAUACCCAUUUAAUCAUAACCGCGUAUCCGUUUACUCUUUUUUUCACCUGUCUACCUUUUUUUUUAACAACUUGAAAAUUAAAAAGAAAUUUGUCAUAAUUUAAUUUUUCUAACAAUUAAAUACCGUUAUAAAUACAUUUAACAUGAAUUUUGUAUUAACGGCAAUAUUAUUUAUGAAGAUAUGCAAUGUCUCCCAAUUAUUUGACGGUCAAUCUAUUACAAGAAUCAUGCAUGGUUGUAGGUUAAUUAAUAUUCUUGUAUACAUACACACACACACACACACACACACACACACACACACACAUAAGUAUGCAUCAGUCUGCUAACAAGCUAAUUUGAUAAAUAUUUGGAUUUUUAUAUAGAAACAUAUGUUCAUCGAUCCAAGCCAUUUAAUUGAUUUCUAAUUUUUGGGUCAAAUACUUAUUGAAAACUCGAUGCCAAUUAAAUAUAUAUAUAUAUAGGUACGCAUCAACCGACAAUAACAUGUUUCUAAAAGCUCAAGGUAAUCAUUAUCUUGAAUUGGCCAAAGCUCCAAAAGACUCCAAAACAAAAUUAUCGAAUACUCUAAUGCUUUAGCAUAUUCAAUCAUAUAUAUUAAACAUUGGUCCGUUCUAUCAAUUAUAUUUUUCUCUCAAGUGAGGCGCAUAUAUAUAUAUAUAUAUAUAUAUAUUAUGGCCCUUUAUAACCAAAUAUGUUUUGGGAUACUAAACUUAGCUAGAAACUAAUUUAUUUAUUUAUUUUUUAGUUUUACAUAUAUUAAAAUAAAUGGUUAAAUGGGUACCCGUUUAUAACCGUGGGUAAUACCCAUAACCGCCCAUUUAAAUUUCACAGGUAAUAACCGUUUAUUUAUCUAAACAGUUACCCAUAACCGUCAAAUUUAAAUGGGCGGAUAACCAAGGUUACCCAUAACCAAUGGGUAUUUGCCCAUCACUAGCCAAGAUUCUACGAGCCACUCCAUGUUGGUUUCAUCUUCCAACAACUCGGUGAAAGAGAAUGCCAUCGAGUUUUGAGUUUUGGUUUGAACGAAAACACUCAAUUUAGAAGAAUUAGAACAAAUGAAAACUAAUUAAAGUGACUUGAAAAGUUUUAGUUUUAAUAAAAAAACCAUGUUAUAAGUUUUGUUUAAUGAUUAGUAUAAGACCCAUAUUAAAGUAGUCCAACUAAAAAUGGCCCAACUAUAAUAAAUUAUGAUUUGUCGAUUUUAUCCCUAACUUUUUUAGGUUGAGUUCCAGAUUUUCGUUGUUAAUGAAGUUCAUCGUUGUUUUGCAUACCUUGUUCUUUUUCUUUGAAACAAAAAUAUAGAUCAUCAUGCUAUUUAAUUUAUAUUUUGUAUUAUUUCAUUGAAAUGUGAUCGUCAUUAUUAUUCAUAGUGUAUUUGAAGUACUGUUUUUCGAUUUUUCAUCGACAGUGAAGUUCAUCAUUUGUUUCUCCAAAAAAUAAAUUUGAGAUAUGCACACUAUUCAAUAAUAACGACAGGUCACUGUUUAUGGACUGUAAAAAUAAAUUGUUUCUGGAUUUUAAGUAACACUGUUUCUAUAUCCAAAUGAAAUAGACACAUGGUUUCUUUAAUGUAAGCUACAAAAGAAAUAGUGAAAUUCACUGAGGAUUCAAAGCAAAAUAAGCAUCAUGUUUCUUAAAUAUAAUCAACUGAUGCAUUAAAGAAAAGAAACAAUCAAAUGUUAAAAGAUAGACUGUUUCUGGAACUAAGUCACUGUUUCUGAAAUCUAAGUCACUAUUUCUGAAAUUUAAGUCAUUGUUUCUGAAAUUUAAGUCAUUAUUUCUGUAUUUUGGUUCUUUUCUUUUCAGAUACAGUGUUUGUUUGUGCACAAACAAAACAAACACUGUAUCUGAUUUUUUUUUCCAGAAACAGUGUUAUGUUUUGGGUUAUCCAUAAACAAUUUUAUGUUUUGGUUUUUUUUCUUUUUUCAGACACUUUUUAGCUGGUGCUGCCAUUAAACUUCUUUGAACUUGUUUCGGUGGCUUUGUUCCGAUGAAUGUUUUAUUUUUCAACUUUGAUUUGAACUUUGAUUUGGUUGUUUUUGAAAUUGGGAAAUUCAAUUUGGUAGGAAAACAUGAAGUUAUUAUGGCGGUUUCAUGCUGGGUUGAGGUUGGUGAAGAGUUAAAACAAUAUCAAAUCAUUUAUGGGUAUUUACGGGAAGUGUAGAUUUGUAGUGGGUUGAGCUUGUAAGUUUGACCCGUGAACAAUAUUUCUGGAUGAUUUUUUAUUAAACUUUGAGCCCUUUUAGUUAAAUAACAUUUUAGGAUGAUUUUUGGUUAAAUAUUUGUUGGCCCAAACCAUUUUUAUUAAAGCUCUCUUAGAACAAUUGGCAGUAGAUCAAAGAGAGGAAGACAGAUAGAUCAAGGAUUUCGGGUUGAGAAGGGAAUGAGUUUACCCGCGGCCAUGUAAAAUUUUGAUUCAAUUCCCUCGAAAUUUCAUGGGAAGAGGUGAGAUUUGUGGAUACUUAAAAUGUACUACAAAAUCUCUCAAAUUCCCUCUAAUUCCUCAACUCUUUCAAAUUCUUUAAAUUCUAAUUCUAAUUGAAUACACCUGGAAUGUUAUAAAUUUCUUUAAAAUUAUAAUUGAACACACACAUAUUUCUAAGGAUUUUAAUAAACUAUUUUAAAAUCCUAAUUGAAUACACAUUAAAUUUCAGAACAUCACUUAAAAUCCUGAUUGAAUACCCCUAGAUAUUAAAAGAAUUAAAAUCCUUCAAAAUCCUAAUUGAAUACAUCUCCUAUGUUUAUGGGUUGGGAUGGGUUGCUUAUUGCUUUGAUUGUUGGAAAAAAUUAGUAUUUUAUUAUUAUUUAGAUUUACUUGUUAGUUUAAUAUAUGAGCUUAGCCUAUAUGAAAUAGGGUUUCUAGGUUUUUCUCUCUAUAAAUAUAGCUUAUAGUUUAGUUUGAAGAUAUGUCAAUCACGAUGUAGUCUUUUGGAUUUUGUAGUUAUUUCGGCAUUCUCAUUUGUUUAAUAAUAUUCUUAUUAUUUUGUAAUCUUGUUCGUCGCACACUCUGAUAUUCAACUUGGUAUCAGAGUAGGUUUGAUCCUUUGAGAUUUAAUCUAUUUAAUCUAUUGUUGAUUCGUAUCAAUCUGUUUGUGUUGUCCGUUUUCUAGUUUAGAUUGUCUUUGGUGUAGUUUAAAAAACGAAAAAGUUUGAAAAAGAAAAACUGUCAUUGUGUUGAGUUUCUGGAGCUGCGCCGCACCGGAGCCAAUUCGAAACGUAAGGUCUAUAACCGAAGCAACCACGCCCAGCAUCCAUGACCACCAGGGCUGGCCCAAGCCUAAUGCUGAUAGGGCGACCGUCCAGGGCCCAAAAUAAUUGGGGGCACCAAAAUUAUUAGGGUAAUAUAUUUAUAUAUUUUUUUCAUAAGAGUAUAAAUUUAUAAAAUUUGGUUCAAUGACAAAGAAAUUUAACUAGAAGUGGUGGUUUUGUUGUUUGAAAUUAAUAGGGAGGUCUUGGGUUCAAAACACCAUGUGUGCUUAUUUACCUCUCAAUUUUUACAAAUUUCUUUUCAUAAAAGUAUAAAUAUAUAAAAUUUGGCUAAAUGAUCAAAAAGUUUAAUUAGAAUCAAUGUUUUUGUUGUUUAAAAUUAACAAGAGAUCCUAAGUUCUAAAUGCUAAGUGCAUGUUUAUUCUUUUCAUUUUUUAUGAAUUUUUGUUUGGUUGUUAAUUUAUUUUUAAUUAGUAGCUAGUAGUUAUGUAGGUUGUUAUUUUUAAACAUUUGUUCUAAUUCAGGUUUAAUCUUCAACAAAGAAUAAUGUGUUGACCAAAUUUUUAGACCAAAUUUGCAAAUCAUAUGACAUGUCAUAAAAAAGUUUAAGUUAGUACCCAUUUAUUGCUUAUACAUAUCAAUUAAAGACUAAAAAACAUCAUUAUUUUUUUAGUCCCAUAUUGACAAGGUUAGUAAAAAAGAAAAGACACCUGACGAUUUAUACAAAAAUAAUUUAAAAGUUCAGAUAAAAAACAAAACUCAUAUCUAUCUAUUUGUAAACCCAGAGUUUUUUUUGUUUCUUUCUCACGAUACAAAAUAAAUUAGUUUUUCCGUGUUUAUAAAUUAUUAAGUUUGAAGUACUUUUUUAAGUAUAAUUUUAUCGAUGUCUUAUGUGUGAAAAUAAAUAACUUUCUGAUAUAAAAUGAUGGCACAUUUUUGACGUCGCAUCGGGCUCAAAAAUCUUUAAACCGGCCUUGAUGACCACCCCACCAUCACCUACAUGACUCACCGCCGUCGCACCCAGAUUCGUCCUGCAUCUGAUUAGCACUGUCCUGCGCACCACCCGUUGCCAGACCUGGCUAAUCAACCCACACCCUACCCAUUCAUGGUUCGCCACUGCGGCACCCGCUGCCUGAGAGCCACUCGCUGCUCAUGUUUGCACUUGUUGUUUGUUGACCGUCGUUGCGGCUACCAAAUCGAAUCUAGGUUGUCUGUCCGAGGAACUGCUGUUGUUCGAGGCUGCUCUGUGGGCCUGUCUUCAAUUCUGAUGAACCCGAGUAUAGUAUGAUGAUGGCCCUUAUUUUGAUCAGAUGGACCUUCGUGUUGAUCUAAAGUAAGUGUUGGAAAGAAGACAAAAAAUUGUUUGUUUCUUUUUUUAAGGCCCACACGGGCAAUGAGCGCUAGUAAAAGAUUGGCAUUUUUGGUUUGAAGUUUUUUUAGGCCCACACGGAAAAAUGUUACGAGUUUGCUUGUCUGUCACUUGGGUACUUGGAUCUGUGAGACCACUCGAGUGAUAGUAGUUUUUUGAUUCUCUCCAUUUGUUGCUGUAAUUGGAAUAUGGGAAUCUUGUCCGUUUGUGACGAGAAGCACUAAUAUGCUUUUUUUCUAUACUCUUAACACUAGUUAGUCGGAAUCAAUUUGCCAAUCAAGUCAAGUUUGCAUGUCUAGCUGUUUUCUAGUCUGCCUAACAGAGCUAGUCCACAUCUGCUUGUUUGCAAACCCAUGUUGUACCGCCAUGAGUUUGACGGUGUGUUGGAAAAUAAUAGUAUUUUAUGAUUAUUUGGGUUUGCUUGUUAGUUUAGUAUAUGGGCUUAGCCCAUCCGAAAUUGGGUUUCUAAGUUUUUUUCUUAUAAAUAUAGCUUAUAGUUUAAUAUGAAGAUAUGUUAGUCACGAUGUAACCUCUUAGGAUUUUGUAGUCGUUUUGACAUUCUCGUUUGUUUAAUAAUAUCCUUAUUAUUUUGUAGUCUUGUUCGUCGCACAUUCUGAUAUUCAACUUUGAUAUCCCUAGUUGUAUGAUAAUUAAUAUGUAAAUGGGGAAAUCAAGUAAACAAAAAAUUAUAAAUUGUAUAAUGUGGUUUUUCGAACAAUAACGCCUCUUGAUUACAUAUAUCUUUUAAAAAAGAACCAACGUCUUGCUAAAAAAAAAGUCAUGUUCUCUAUGAAAAUAAAAGCAUUGAAGUUGACUUCAUUUCCAAUAGGAAUCGAAACUUACAAAUAACAAAAGUAAAAAAAAACAUUAAAAUUCCUUUGCUAAAUCAAAAUAUAUACAAAAUCCUCAUGCUGAGGAGGAAAAAACUAGAGAGUAAACAACCAAUGCUUCCGCCUCAUUAUUUACUCUUUUAGGAAAACUUUCUCUUCACUCCUCCACAGCAAGAGGAACAGACGCCGCGAGCUUGCGGAACUUGAGGGCGUAAAACAUCUCCAGAUAGCGGCGGCUCUCCAGGCGAUCAAGGUUCGAAACAUCUUUCCAGAAGCCAUAAACUCCAGUGAGUGUCAAGAGCCUCUCAGAGUAGAUUUGCCAUGUGUACCUAAACGAAAACAGAGCAGAAAUGUAAGAUAACUUGCAAGCCAAGCAAAACAAUUU
rnacentral:lncRNA from 1 species